CCUACGGGAGGCAGCAGUGGGGAAUAUUGGGCAAUGGGCGCAAGCCUGACCCAGCGACGCCGCGUGAGGGAAGAAGGCUUUCGGAUUGUAAACCUCUUUUAGCAGGGAAGACAAAAGGACGGUACCUGUUGAAGAAGCCACGGCUAACUACGUGCCAGCAGCCGCGGUAAUACGUAGGUGGCAAGCGUUGUCCGGAUUUACUGGGUGUAAAGGGCGUGCAGGCGGGAAGACAAGUCAGAUGUGAAAUCCAGGGGCUCAACCGCGGAACUGCAUUUGAAACUGGUUUUCUUGAGUACCGGAGAGGUCAUCGGAAUGCGUGGGGUAGCGGUGAAAUGCGUAGAUAUAAGGAAGAACAACAGGGGCGAAGGCGGAUGACGGGACGGCAACUGACGGUGAGGCGCGAAAGCGUGGGGAGCAAACAGGAUUAGAUACCCUAGUAGUC
rnacentral:rRNA from 1 species